UUUUCCUUAUUUCCUCUCCUCCCGAACCCUUUCCUUCCUCCUUCGCUCGACCCGACGCCGCCUCUCGCUCUGCGGCGUGGAGCUCCUCCUCUCCCGAUCUCUCAUCUUCUCCCAUCUUCAUCAUCGAUCUCCUCCUCCCUCUCCCUCUUGCAAUCUCCUCUUCUUCCCCCGACGCCCUGCUCUCGCCUUCACAUCGCCUUCCACCCGAUCAUCAGUGACGCCGCCUUAUCGCCGGAAGUUGUCAUCGCUGGAGUGGAGGAUCGACGCAAGGAGGGCUAGAGCUACUCUCCUUCUGGCUUGAGGACCGAAUCGGGGUAGUGGUUGCGGCCACUGAGAACUCAUCGGCAGCGGAAGCCCUAACAUCCUGUCCAUCGCCGCACCAGUCUCCUUCACUGGAUUGGAGGCGCAACCAGUAGCGACUCUGCACUCUCACAUUCCCGAUCUUCCUUCCCACUUACCGCCGAGGGUACCCUGCUGUCCUAACGCCAUCUUGUAGCGGUUUUGUUUUGUUCCGGCCAUAGCACUGCCGACGACCAACAGCUAGCUCUGCUAGUGGCUAGUCCUAUUGGUGCCACUUUCCUCAUCAAAUUUGAAGUGGAGGGUUCCUCCUUUCUCACAACUGCAUCUGGAUUUCUUUCACCAAGCAGUGAUAGAGCGGAUUAAGGCCUUUUGAAUUGCUAUGGCGAUCUUGCCUCAGCUGACGAUUUGAAAGAAGGAGAAUCAUAACCUUGAAGACGUUCGGAGUAUUGCCUAGGAGGGUUUCGUUUCACCAUAAGUUGUGGUUGGAGAAGGAGAACAAGCAACGUUUGGGAGACAUGAGGUAUUGAUUUGAUGAUCAUAUGUUUCGGAUAGGAGGUCCUGGUAAGUACAGUUCUUCUUAUGUUGUCUUUCAGUUUGCAUUUCCUAUUAUUGAUCAGAAGAUUGUAUCGCAUGAUUAUUAGUUAUAACUUAUUAUGUCUAUCUAUCCGGUAUCCGCUGAGUUCUUUGAACUCACACCAUUGAGUUAUUUCUAUUUCAGGUAGCAGGUAGUUUUUAGAGUCGCUUGGAGUAUCCUGUCUGCCGGUUCACACGUCACAUCCAAAGACCUAUUUCUGGUUUUCAUUUGUACUUUAUUUUGUCUAUGUUUUUUGUUUACUUAGCAAUGUAAAUUUAGGUUUUGGUUCCGGAGUGUUUUGAUGUGGUAUUUUGUAUUGUUUGUGGUGUUGUGUAAGUCUAGCCGGCUAGCAGUCUUGUUUUUGGGUUGUAAUGAUUUUCUAUCAUUUCCACUGUGUUUUUGGUAUUUUGAUCCAACUGAGUGGGCUGUUAGAUGUAUAUAUAACUGCGUGGUUGUAUUUAUUAUUAUUACAGCCGAGUGUGCUAAAUAUAAACUGUGUGGUUGUGUAUA